GCCGUAAAGCGGAAGCUGAGCGGCGGGCGGCCGGAAGCGGGGUCGCGGGGGUGAGGAGGAGGGUCGCGCCAUGAAGCCGGCUGUGGACGAGAUGUUCCCGGAGGGUGCGGGGCCGUACGUGGACCUCGACGAGAUUUUGAAGAUCUCUUUGAUGACGAUGACAUCCAGUGAACUUAGUCUUCCAGCUAUGCAGUGCUGAGGUGUGGAAUUCUGCUCUAGGAUCACCUGUGGUGUCCAUUAUUUAUUAAAAGAAUCAAAACAGAAAAAAUGGGGGUGGGUGGGAAACAAGACACGUAAGCUUCUUGGGAAUAUGAAAACCAGAUCGUUGAAGAUAACUGUAAAAGGAAUUGUGGACUGCCACCUCUAGGACGCUGUGUAGGGGGUUUUUUUGUUGGUUUUUUUUGUUUUGUUCCUUGUUUCUGUUUAAUUUUACUUGCUGAUGUGCUCAUUUAAUAAAAUCUUGACAAAAUCUC